rnacentral:rRNA from 1 species
UAAUACGGAGGGAGCUAGCGUUGUUCGGAAUUACUGGGCGUAAAGCGCGCGUAGGCGGCUAUUUAAGUCAGAGGUGAAAUCCCGGGGCUCAACCCCGGAACUGCCUUUGAAACUAGAUGGCUAGAAUCCUGGAGAGGCGAGUGGAAUUCCGAGUGUAGAGGUGAAAUUCGUAGAUAUUCGGAAGAACACCAGUGGCGAAGGCGACUCGCUGGACAGGUAUUGACGCUGAGGUGCGAAAGCGUGGGGAGCAAACAGG